rnacentral:lncRNA from 1 species
AUUGUUAUUUUUUCUUUUACAGAAGUGAAGACAUAGUGAAAUGCUAUCAAUAUAAAUUAUGGUGUCAACCUGGAGAAAUGUGUUUUUGGAGUCAAGAUCCUAAAGUGAAUUUGAAAGUACUUGGUGUACAGUCAGCUCAAAGCCCUGCUUGUAGAAUUCCCCUGAUUGGUCAUUCGUCACUAAUUGUGCCCAUCAGAGCUCACAGUGCAUGCAAAUUAUAUGAGUAUCAGAGAUCUGAAGAGACGCUGUCUAAUAUUAAUGAAUGUGGGGAAACCUGCAGUGAUUUCCGGUCCUUUCAGGAGAAUGCAAGAACAAACCCUGGAGAGAAACACUGUGCAGAGAAACAGUGACACAAUUGGCCCACCAUGCACCGACUGCAGUUGCCCACCCA